AAUGGGCGAAAGCCUGAUCCAGCAAUGCAGCGUGUGUGAAGAAGGCCUGAGGGUUGUAAAGCACUUUCAGUAGGGAAGAUAAUGACGGUACCUACAGAAGAAGCACCGGCUAACUCCGUGCCAGCAGCCGCGGUAAUACGGAGGGUGCAAGCGUUAAUCGGAAUUACUGAGCGUAAAGCGUACGUAGGAUGUAAUGCAAGUCGGAUGUGAAAUCCCCGGGCUUAACCUGGGAACUGCAUUCGAAACUACAUUACUAGAGUGUAGUAGAGGUAAGCGGAAUUUCGGGUGUAGCGGUGAAAUGCGUAGAUAUCCGAAAGAACAUCAGUGGCGAAGGCGGCUUACUGGACUAACACUGACUCUGAGGUACGAAAGCGUGGGUAGCAAACAGGAUU
rnacentral:rRNA from 1 species